CCCUUAGAUGUCCUGGGCUGCACGCGCGCUACACUGAUGUGUCCAGUAAGCACCUAACCUCUUCCGAAAGGAACGGGUAACCUUUGCAAAGCACAUCGUGAUGGGGAUAGAUUAUUGCAAUUAUUAGUCUUGAACGAGGAAUUCCUAGUAAGCACAAGUCAUCAGCUUGUGUUGAUUACGUCCCUGCCCUUUGUACACACCGCCUGUCGCUACUACCGAUUGAAUGGCUUAGUGAGAUUUCCGGAUCGGCGUUGGGGAGCCGGCAACGGCACCCCUUGGCUGAGAAGUUACUCAAACUUGGUCAUUUAGAGGAAGUAAAAGUCAUAACA
rnacentral:rRNA from 1 species